rnacentral:lncRNA from 1 species
UUGGAAUGCUUAUUUGGAAGUUUGGGGCGAAAUUCAAGGGUUAUACUGCAAAGUUUGGAAGUUUUGGGUCCACUGUGAUGUUAACAAGAAUCCAGGGACCAAGGUUGCAAAUUCGUAAUAUUCGCUUGGGCUAAAUCGCGCAUUGGAAACUUUGGGUUUGAUUCGCAAGGGCAUUUUUGCACAUUCCAAAGGCUGGGUCCGUUUUGUAAAGAAUCAAAAGGACAGGGACUGGUUUUGAAAAUAAUGAAGAAGUCUCCAUUGGAGGAGAUCGAGAGUUUGGUUUCAACGCGAACGACGGCGAGGCUAAUUCCAACCACGGCAAAGCUCGACGACGAUGAGACUCGAGCACCUGAGAGCACGACCUGGAGGAGGAUAGCUCGAGAAAUGGAGAGGUCGUGGACAUGAGACCUCACGUCGAUGGCAUCCGGUCGCGGUGAGGGAUGAUCCCGACGACGAGAAUGAGCACGGCCACGGGAGAUAGAGAGGCCGUGAGCCAGUGACGACGAAGGAGACGACGGCUGAAGCUGGAGACGAGGAAGCUCGGGUCUCGAGACAAAGAAGAGCGAAUCGGAGCUCAAGCUCGAAGAAGUUCACAGCGACUUGGCAAAGCGGGUUAAUGAGGUCGCCACAUCAUGAGCGAGUGCUGGAGCGGCCAUUGGUAGCGGGGACGUGACGCCGCUCGGGAAGACGCGGAUUCGCUAGCGGCCACUGGUAGCGGGACGUGAUGGCCGCUACGAACAGAUUUGGAGAUGUUGACCGGUUUAUUCCGGUUUGACCCGGUUUAAUUCACUAAACCAGCUCGAGUUUGGCAUGUCUUAUAUAUAGUUUUAAACCUAAAAACCUGAGGGAUAUCUCAUUUUUCUCUCAAGAACUUGCCUCCCU